rnacentral:snRNA from 1 species
GUGCUCGCUUCAGCAGCACAUAUGCUAAAAUUGGAAUGACAUGGAGUAGAUUAGCAUGGCCCCUGAGCAAGGAUGACACACAAAUUCAUGAAGCGUUCCAUAUAUUA